GGCAUCAGCAAAGCAGUGAAUAUUCUUUUAUUUUCCCAUUUUCACUAACCAAAUCCAGUCUGCAGUGCAAUUUCCAUCUGAGUUGAUCUAUGCUUUGGUGAGAGGAGUAAUAAAUAACACUUUAGAGCAGACUUCAAAAUGCCUUUUUUCUUUGAUCUGAGUAAUUAAGGAGUCAAGUUGCUGUUCCUAAGCAUUUUCUGAUGGAAUUACACGAGUUACACAGCUCUUCAUUUGUAUGUCAUUAAACAUUAUGUUUUAUUGCUGCUGUUCAAACAAUUAGUACCUAAAUAUGCCCCAUAUUCUCAUAAAGAGGCGGUAGCAGUGCUAAUGUUAAUGCCCUGAUUAACAGUUUGUUCCCAUCCAGAGUCCACCAUCAUGCCUGAUUGCCAUUUAAUGUCAAUCAGAUCUUUACUGAUGCCCUUCUGAAGUCAUUCUCUUCUGCAGUCAUUUAACUGCCCAGCAAAGUGAGGAUAAGUCAAACAAGAAAGUUAACUAAAAAUGGCAUUUCUUUUAACACAGGAAUUUUUUAAAAAGUUCAUUACAAGUUUUGGUUAUAAAAAGGCCACUGCUUCAUGGUGAUCAGUCAUUUUGACAUUUUUAUGGUGUUUUUAUUACCCCUGGCUCAUUUCCAUACUAAAGGGAACAUUUGUAACAAUACUUGCUCUCUCUGUUAUGAUUAGGAUUGUGCUUUUGCCGUGCUUUGUUGGGCUGUUGCUGCGCUCAAUAAUGCUCUUGGCACACGUCCUCCCAGACCCUGCGGUGUGUUUAUUCAAAGGGAAGGAAAAAGAAGUGUCUACUAAAACAAUAAACUACUACUGCUUGCGUUAACAUGGCCAUAACUUCCUUGUUCUGCAGACAAUCAGUUAGCAAAGCUGUUAGGUAAACUUGCUCCUUCACUGUUGAAAAAAUAAAUAUUCAUGAAUCUUGCAGCCACAUUUUCCCGUGCUUUAUAAUGGAGUUGAAGACCAUGAAGGAUUUUAAAGCUAAUAAUUUAACCAGAGAGAUAAGGAUGGGGGCCCGGAUCCUGAAAGUAGUGGGAGCUGAGAUCCUAAAUGGUACUGGAUUACUUAAGAAAGGAUGUGAGCCGGUCAACACAGGAGAAACCAUGCUAAUUAAAUCCAAGAUGUCAGAGCUCACGGGGAAAACCACCCUCACCCACCCUGCUGGAGGAGUACAAUGGCACAAUGGCACCCUCUGUUGCCCUGCACGCUGCUCCCAUGUGGAUGUAGAACUCCCAAAAGUAUCCAUUCCCCACCUCUGAAUCUCAUCUCUUCCCAUCGAGCUUCCUUGUUUGUUUGGAGUUAUCCUGUUAUUUCCAUUUGUAAUAAAGUCCGUCUUGUUCUU
rnacentral:lncRNA from 1 species